GUGCAUUUUUGCUCUUGAGUUUUUUCUCUAUUCCACCAGCUCACCUCACCACCAGCACCAACCACACAAGACAACAAUUUAGUAAUAAAAUUAACAAUAAAUCAUGUUUAUCAUGUGCUACACAAAGCGUCUGCUCCUGUUUAGCCUCUAUCAUUGUGAUAAAGCACAAACUGCAAGCAAUUUAGGGGAACAAUGAGUUUAUUCAGCCACCAGGUCCGUCACUGAGGGAAGACAGGGCUGGAACUUGAAGCAGAAUUCAUGGAGGAGUACUGUUUGCUGGCUUUCACACAGGCCCAUUCUUAUCUAACUUUCUUAUAUAGUCCAAGAAUAUUACCCAAGGGAUGCUGCUAUUCACAGUAGUCUGGGUCCUUCUACAUCAACUAAUAAUCAAGAGAAUUCUCCACAGACAUAUCCACAGGCCAAUUUGAUGUGGUAAAUCCCUCAUGUCCUUCCUCUCAGGUGAUUUUAAGCUGAUUAAAGCUAAAAUGAACAAA
rnacentral:lncRNA from 1 species